rnacentral:misc_RNA from 1 species
GAUGAAGAACGUAGCGAAAUGCGAUAAGUAAUGUGAAUUACAGAAUUCAGUGAAUCAUCGAAUCUUUGAACGCACAUUGCGCCCCCUGGUAUUCCGGGGGGCAUGCCUGUCCGAGCGUCAUUACAACCCUCAAGCUCAGCUUGGUGUUGGGCCCCGCCGCCCCGGCGGGCCCUAAAGUCAGUGGCGGUGCCGUCCGGCUCCGAGCGUAGUAAUUCUUCUCGCUCUGGAGGCCCGGUCGUGUGCUCGCCAGCAACCCCCAAUUUUUUUCAGGUUGACCUCGGAUCAGGUAGGGAUACCCGCUGAACUUAAGCAUAUCAAUAAGCGGAGGA